rnacentral:lncRNA from 10 species
GUCGCACUUCAUUCCUGCACAGGCAGAAUCAUCUGGCUUCUGCAAAGCAGUCGCGCAGCGCUGUAGGGACAACCGGGGAGUCUCAACCUAAAUGACUCUCCCCUCGUUCCCCUGGAGGAGAAGAGAAGGGGCGACCUCACACAGGACCAGGGCCGGACGGGGCAGAAGGGAGGAAGAGUUCCCGUGCUGGCACAGAGGUGGCAGGGGGAGGCAGCAGUGCAGCUGGAGCCCAGGCCUGCUGUGAGAGGGCAGAGAGUGAGCCUGGGCUGUGCUCACAGGACAUUCCUCAAACUCAUUCCUAAAAGAGCUGCAAUUACACGGCGGCGUUUCCGAAAUGACCUGGCACAGUGCGCGGCGCCUCACAUAGGCCCAGGGCCGCGGCCAGCGCUGAGCAGACUGGUGACUAGAAGCAGCUCCCCGUCGGGCUGCACCCUCCCUCUGUCCCUCGCGGGGGCAUCUGCAGAAGGGCACUGAAUGCGCUCCCCACCCCAGGAAACCCAGCCCCUCCACUCUUCCAGGAAGGAGCGUCGUCAUGGCCACACAGGCAGGGAAUAACUGAUGCACAGAAUUCAGCCGGGCCGCACUCAGCACCGCGCUCUCCAGAUGCAAACGGACACACGCAAACCGGCCCCAGACUCGAGAAUUCGUCCGCAGAGAUGCAUCCACUACAACUCAAACAUCAUUCCACCUUAAAAACCCUGCUUAAUGACAUCAGCCCUGCUCUGCCGGUUUUGUGGCCUCUUUGACACAGGCCGAGAUCCUCCCUUCUCUGGCCUCCCCGCUGGCUGCCAGAUCUCACCAAGCCACAAGUUACAGACGCAGGGUGCAACUGAGGAACAUGAUCAGUGAAGGAAGAAAUAAGGAAGGGGGAGCUUUACGAGUCCAGCUAAAAACAAGAGGACAAACUAGCCAGACCCCUCGGAGAAGCAGGCUCCUCAUUUCACGAAAUCGGCCGUUUCCUUCAGCAGCUCCCCUGACCCCCGUUACAGUCUGUGACGAUGACGAGAGACACGCCUGCUGCCCUGCUCAGUGGGGAACACACCGGCCCCGCGUGCGUAUUUCGCUGUUUCUGACUUCACACAAAGAACUGUUGUUAUGUUUCCAUCACUUACACGCAGCAACCAGCAUUCAAUGUUGUGCUCUCAAAGUCUGUUUAAAGUUGGCUGCUUGCAAACUGGGCCAUAGUUUCUGACAAAAAUGAUGCUGGUAAGCUAACUCCCAGGCCGAGAAUGCCCAUGCUGUGGGCAAAAGAACAGUGCCCGCCCCUGGGUUGUCUGAGCAGAAGCUGGAUUGUGUGCCUGGAGCCCUGUCGCCCUCAGCCAGACCCGGGGUCGAGGCUGGGCCGGCUCUCCGGGAGCAUCAGGGAUCCGGUUGGAGAGAGGCUCAUACGGCGGUCCCAGGGGCCACCUCGAGGGGGUUGACCGGAGCUGGGUCUGGGAGCUGCAGCAGAGGGAAGGCGGCAUGAGGAGAGAGCCGCAGGUGGGGCGUGUGCACAAAGUGCAGGUGUGUGGAGGCCCUGUGGGUUUACAUUGCCCUGAGGCACCACUUCACGAUCACCCCAUUAUUUUUAAUAAAGGUUGUGGAGAGGCUGCCCUUGUUUGCUAAUUACGCCUUAUAUCUUUAAUCAUUGCAUUCCAACUUAACAAAGGGAUUUUAACAAAGGUCACCGUUUAUCAGAUGAAGCCAAAUGCCCACUUCCCUGCCUCCAAAACCAGAAUGACCUUCAGGUGUGCUUUCCACCAAGCAUGGACGAGAGACUUCCUUCGUGAAUCUCCUCCAGAAGCAAAACAUUACUGACUCAAAACGUUUGAGAGGCUGCUAUCAAGGGUGAACCUCGUAAGAUUGUUCUCUGAUAUCACUAAGAAAUUCUGCAUGUCAAACACAACAUUCACAAGAAAUUCCCACGGGCGGGCGCUGCAACUGCUGGACACCCCGCCCAGCAGCCUGAAAGCACGCUCACGCCUUAGGGGAGGCUGCUGGCUCCCAAAUGCAAACACAGUUUCAUAAAACCACACCAGUACCAUGCCUUACGCUCAUUCUCAAGUCAGACAUGGCUCCAUUUGGGGUUUUUCUUACUGUAACCAGGUUAUUGACUAUUCACGGGUUUUUAAAGGGUCUUUUUUUCUUCUUUUUUUUUUUUUGACACGGAGUCUCGCUCUGUCGCCCAGGCUGGAGUGCAGUGGUGCAAUCUCGGCUCACUGCAACCUCCACCUCCUGGGUUCAAGUGAUUCUCCUGCCUCAGCCUCCGGAGUAGCUGGGAUUACAGGUGUUCACCACUACACCUGGCUAAUUUUGUAUUUUUAAUAGAGAUGGGUUUUCACCAUGUUGGCCAGGCUGGUCUUGAACUCCUGACCUCGUGAUCUGCCUGCCUUGGCCUCCCAAAGUGCUGGGAUUACAGGCGUGAGCCACUGAGCCCAGCCUAAAGUUUCUCUUUAAAAGGAUGCCUUUUCUAUAUUAUUUUAUUCCUCUCUUUAGGAGCUCACUGAAGUUUUAUGGAAGCACCACACAAGUCAGCAGGGUGGGCUUUGGGGGGUGCAUCACAUCCAGAGGCAGUCCACACAAGGUUCCGUUGCUCAUAAGUGCCGGUUCCCGGACUCUGCAGGAGGCACACCUUAACGGGGACACUUUACUGCGGGUGCCACGUUAAAUGACGACUGUAGGACUCUCCCACGUUGAGGUGAGCACAGGAGAGCUUACUUGUACAUUUGUGCUAUGGUUUACAGCACGCCAGCAUUGUCUUUUUCUAUUUGGGGCAUUCAUAAAUGUGACUGUAUUUUUCAGAGAAGUUUACCUCUGAACUCAAAAUUAACUUUUGUAUGAUUUUGGGAAACACCCCAAUUUUUCUCAUGACAAACAGAGCUAAUACCUGUCUAGUAGGGCAAUGGGAGAAUAAGGGUCGCCACAGCCAGCACACAGGAGAGCUCUGUUGUCCCAGGGGGGAGCCACUCGCAACUGUGGCCACUUCCAUCUAAAUCGCUUAAAAAUAUGACAUUAAAAACACAGUUGUUCAGUUAUAAGGGUCUCGUUUCGUGUGCUGUGGGCCACAUGUGUCUAGAGGCUAACGUGUCACCAGGCAGCACAAAUAUAGAACAUCUCCAUUAUGGCAGAACAUCCCACUGGAGGUGCUGCAGGGGAGUGUCUUGAUAGUAAGUUACCAACAAAUGCGAGCUGUGACCACGUUGUGUGGCCAUUUUAAUGCACUUCUGCCUACUAAGAGAUCGUCUAAUAUUCUGCUAUUGAGUUCAAGAGUUUUCUAGAGGUUUGUCAUGUGGGAGGUGUGUGUGAAAGAGUUCUAAACUCUGCUGAAGAUAAGGUACAGUAAAAAGCCUGUCGGCACCCACACAAUCUAAGAAUUUUCCAGGCAUUUCUCAGUGCCUGCAUGUGUCCAAGUGUCAGGUGAGAUCAGUGAGUGUCUUUAGCCCCUACUUUUCAGUUCCCUAAGCCUUUAAACAUAUAUUAAAUGGCCAAUUUAAGAAUUACAUGAGUUCUCAAAAAAUCUGCUUAUGUGACUUACCUAUAAAGUAGAAAUUUUACA